UCGAAUCUCAGUUCGGUGAUGCUCAAGCUCAAGGAGAGUGCCUAAGGGUGAAUUCUUCAAAACAAAAUACUGGUACGAAUCUUUCUCCGCCUGCGCAUGAUUUCCGGAUCCAUUCCUCAUCAAGUUUCCGAUCACCAUGUCGAGAUAUUUGAUGCUGGGAAAUGUAACGAACACAGUACGUUCGCUCAUUACGAGCCAAAGACAGGCAUGUAGAAGCAAGGAAGAGCGGGGAUUGUUGCAGUAGGGCCUCUCUUUCGAAAUAAAUUUCUCACAUUGCAGUUUUUUAUCCUGAGGACAUAAUUCUUCCCCCAUCGAACUGCACGAGGAGAAGAUUUUCAUCCAUCUUACCUUAAAAACUAAAAAAAUGUGAUGUGUAUUGUUGAGUUAGUCGGGUCAACUUGACCAAACAAAUGUUAACCUGUGGACUCGAAUGCUCAGUUUUCCAAAAAUUCAACAAAAAAAAAAAAA